rnacentral:rRNA from 1 species
AACGAACGCUGGCGGCAUGCCUAACACAUGCAAGUCGAACGAGACCUUCGGGUCUAGUGGCGCACGGGUGCGUAACGCGUGGGAACCUGCCCUUAGGUUCGGAAUAACUCCCCGAAAGGGGUGCUAAUACCGGAUAAUGUCUUCGGACCAAAGAUUUAUCGCCUUUGAUGGGGCCGCGUUUGAUUUGCUUGUUGGUAGGGUAAAAGCCUACCAAGGCGACGGUCCAUAGCUGGGCUGAGAGGAUGAUCAGCCACACUGGGACUGAGACACGGCCCAGACUCCUACGGGAGGCAGCAGUGGGGAAUAUUGGACAAUGGGCGAAAGCCUGAUCCAGCAAUGCCGCGUGAGUGAUGAAGGCCUUAGGGUUGUAAAGCUCUUUUACCCGGGAUGAUAAUGACAGUACCGGGAGAAUAAGCUCCGGCUAACUCCGUG